CACGUAGGCACCAAGCGUUGUCCGGAUUUAUUGGGCGUAAAGAGCUCGUAGGCGGUUCGGUAAGUCGGGUGUGAAAACUCUGGGCUCAACCCAGAGCCGCCACCCGAUACUGCUGUGACUCGAGUGCGGUUGGGGAGAAUGGAAUUCCUGGUGUAGCGGUGGAAUGCGCAGAUAUCAGGAGGAACACCGAUGGCGAAGGCAGUUCUCUGGGCCGUAACUGACGCUGAGGAGCGAAAGCGUGGGGAGCGAACAGG
rnacentral:rRNA from 1 species